UGAUCAGCAUGCCGCGUGUGUGAAGAAGGCCUUCGGGUUGUAAAGCUCUUUUGUCCGGAAAGAAAUGGCUCUGGUUAAUACCUGGGGUCGAUGACGGUACCGGAAGAAUAAGGACCGGCUAACUACGUGCCAGCAGCCGCGGUAAUACGUAGGGUCCAAGCGUUAAUCGGAAUUACUGGGCGUAAAGCGUGCGCAGGCGGUUGUGCAAGACCGAUGUGAAAUCCCCGAGCUUAACUUGGGAAUUGCAUUGGUGACUGCACGGCUAGAGUGUGUCAGAGGGGGGUAGAAUUCCACGUGUAGCAUUGAAAUGCGUAGAGAUGUGGAGGAAUACCGAUGGCGAAUGGAGCCCCCUGGGAUAACACUGACGCUCAUGCACGAAAGCGUGGGGAGCAAACAGGAUUAGAUACCCUGGUAGUCCACGCCCUAAACGAUGUCAACUAGUUGUUGGGGAUUCAUUUCCUUAGUAACGUAGCUAACGCGUGAAGUUGACCGCCUGGGGAGUACGGUCGCAAGAUUAAA
rnacentral:rRNA from 1 species